CCUACGGGGGGCAGCAGUGAGGAAUAUUGGUCAAUGGUCGGGAGACUGAACCAGCCAAGCCGCGUGAGGGAUGAAGGUACAGAGUAUCGUAAACCUCUUUUGUCAGGGAACAAAGGCGGGGACGUGUCCCCGGAUGAGUGUAACGGAAGAAAAAGCAUCGGCUAACUCGGUGCCAGUAGCCGCGGUAAUACGGAGGAUGCGAGCGUUAUCCGGAUUAAUGGGGUUUACAGGGUGCGCAGGCGGUCUGGUAAGUCAGAGGGCAAAGCCCGGGGCUCAACCCCGGCCCGCCGUUGAAACUGGCAGUCUCGAGUUGGAGAGAAGUAUGCGGAAUGCGCGGUGUAGCGGUGAAAUGCAUAGAUAUCGCGCAGAACUCCGAUUGCGAAGGCAGCAUGCCGGCUCCACACUGACGCUGAGGCACGAAAGCGUGGGUAUCGAACAGGAUUAGAUACCCCGGUAGUC
rnacentral:rRNA from 1 species